rnacentral:rRNA from 1 species
UACGUAGGGUGCGAGCGUUGUCCGGAAUUAUUGGGCGUAAAGAGCUUGUAGGCGGUCUGUCGCGUCUGCUGUGAAAAUCCGGGGCUCAACCCCGGGCCUGCAGUGGGUACGGGCAGACUAGAGUGCGGUAGGGGAGACUGGAAUUCCUGGUGUAGCGGUGAAAUGCGCAGAUAUCAGGAGGAACACCGGUGGCGAAGGCGGGUCUCUGGGCCGAUACUGACGCUGAGGAGCGAAAGCGUGGGGAGCGAACAGG